GACGAACGCUGGCGGCGUGCUUAACACAUGCAAGUCGAACGGAAAGGCCCUGCUUUUGUGGGGUGCUCGAGUGGCGAACGGGUGAGUAACACGUGAGUAACCUGCCCUUGACUUUGGGAUAACUUCAGGAAACUGGGGCUAAUACCGGAUAGGAGCUCCUGCUGCAUGGUGGGGGUUGGAAAGUUUCGGCGGUUGGGGAUGGACUCGCGGCUUAUCAGCUUGUUGGUGGGGUAGUGGCUUACCAAGGCUUUGACGGGUAGCCGGCCUGAGAGGGUGACCGGCCACAUUGGGACUGAUAUACGGCCCAGACUCCUACGGGAGGCAGCAGUGGGGAAUAUUGCACAAUGGGCGGAAGCCUGAUGCAGCAACGCCGCGUGCGGGAUGACGGCCUGCGGGUUGUAAACCGCUUUCGCCUGUGACGAAGCGUGAGUGACGGUAAUGGGUAAAGAAGCACCGGCUAACUACGUG
rnacentral:rRNA from 1 species